GCCGAUCCGAGCGGAGCCGAGGCGUCGUUGGGAUCUUUGCCGCUGCCUGCUUUCUUUGCACCUUUACCUUUUCUCUUUCAAUCUUUGCUUUUUACUCUGCUCAUCGUUCCGGCAAGCGGGACCUGGUGCUCUCAUAUUCAGCAUGAAACUUGUGUUCUUCAUAGCCUUGGUGGGCACCUUGGCGCGAGGUAACCUGUCGCUACCUGUUGGACAAGAACAAUCGAGAGGCGACUUGGCGGCGCGCUGCGUGGUUCAAGUGCUGUCGAAAGCGCUCUCCCAGCCUGCCAGCGCUGCUCCUGUGGACCCACAGUGCAGAGACUUCCUGAGGGCAGGGAUGAAACAUGACGCAGCUGAGAAAAAAGGUGAAGAAGAGGUUGUUCAUUUAACAGGAACUGAAAGUCAGGAACAGAAUGAGUUUGAAAGGCAAGCUGAAGGAACAGCUGUAACAGAGAAGGAUGCACAUGAGCCCAGGAGCACUGAGAACAUGUUAAAGGCAGAGGAUAAGCGGCAGAGCCUUCAAAACACAGGGAGUCAAGAGAGUAUCACAAGCGUGGAAGAGAAAAAGAGUACAGAUGCUCUAACAACGGGUGAAAAAGAUGAUGAAGAAGAGAGAGUAUCUGGGCGCAGUCACCACAGCAGUUCAGAGCACAGACUAAGAGAUGAAGAGGUCAGUGAGGGAUCUAAACACCAUUAUCUGAAGAACACAGAGGAUUCUGAAAAGGAAUGGAGUCAUAUAGAUAGGAGGUCUGAGGAGUUAGAGGAUAGCAGUGAAAAAGAGACACGUAUUUGGAAGCCCAACCAUAAGUACCAUCACAAGAAGCACAAGCGAAGUGAAGAGCCCCUGGGGGAUGAGGAGUCAGAGGAAUCAGAAGAAGAUGAACACGAAGACAGAGAGAAGCGUAUUUGGAAGCCCACUCAUCGAUAUCAUCACAAGAAGAACAGGCGAAAUGAAGAGCCCUUGGAGUCUGAGGAAUCAGAUGAAUCUGAGGAAGGUGAAGAUGAAGACAGAGAAAAACGUGUUUGGAAACCUACUCAUAGAUAUCAUCACAAGAAGCACAAAAGAAAUGAAGUGCCCUUGGAGGAGGAGGAAUCAGAAGAAUCAGAAGAAGAUGAACAUGAAGACAGAGAGAAGCGUAUUUGGAAGCCCACUCAUCGAUAUCAUCACAAGAAGCAUAGGCGAAAUGAAGACCCCUUGGAUGAUGAAGGGUCAGAUGAUCUGGAGGAAGAUGAAAAUGAAGACCAAGAGAAACGUAUUUGGAAGCCCACUCAUAGAUAUCACCACAACAAGCACAGAAGAAAUGAAGACUCUUUAGACGAUAAAGGAUUGGAAGAAUCAGAAGAAAGUGAAAUUGAAGAUAGAGAAAAGCGUAUUUGGAAACCUACUCACAGGCACUUUGACAAAAAACACAAGCGAGAUGAAGAGCCCUUUGAUGAGGUACUUAGUGAAGAGUCAGAGGAAUCUGAGGAAGAUGAACACAGAGAAAAGCGAAUUUGGAAACCUAGCCAUAGAUACCAUCACAAGAAAGGUAAGAAAAACAAGAGGAAUGAAGAUUCUUCUACUGAGGAAUCAGAAGAGCAGAGCUCUCAAGAGAAAAGAUCAGAGGAGUUAGACAACAAUGAAGAAAAGGAGAAACAAAUUUGGAAGCCAACCCAUAGGUACCAUCACAAAAAGCACAAGUGGUCUGAAGACGCUUUUGAAGGACAGAAUGAAGAGCCAGAGGAAGAUGAAGAUGGGGUUGAGCAUCUUUGGAACCCUGCAUUUAAAACUCAGCAUCUAAAGCACAAACGGAACAGAGAUUCUUUUGAAGAUGAAGAUGUGGAAGACAUGGAAAGGAGUUCAGAAUUUGCAGAAGACAGACAUGACAAGGAGAAGAGAAUUUGGAAACCUACUCAUCGAUAUCACCAUAAGAAGAACAGGAGGAGUGAAGACGCAUCAGAGGAAGAGGAGAAAAAGAAUUAUGAAAGUGAUGAGGAUGACACUGAUGAAUCACAGUCCGGCAGGGAAAAGAAAAAUCAGUCAAGUGACCUACCUGAGGAAGUCUACAAGCGACAUGACCUGGAGGAUAAUGAAGAGCUCAACAAAAGGCAUCACCUGUCAGAUAGCAGCCAUUAUUAUAAAAGGUACCACAAUGAAGAUGAAAAACAAAGUGAAGAAGAUGACAACUUGAAGGCUCUUGAAUAUUUGGCAAAGAAGAGGAAUGAGGCUGAUUUGCUGAGCGAGGAGGAGAUGCAAGUGAAGAGAUCCCCCUGGGAGUACAAGGGCUACUACCACCCUGCGUGGUGGAAGCGAAGCCCUCUGAGAAGCGGAAACCAGCUAGAGCAGGACAUGUGGGACAGUAGACAGGCUGCCCUGGAGGUUUUCCCUAACCACAUUCAGGAGAAGAGACAAUACCCAGGCAACAAAAUUGAUGAACUUGCUAAAUUCCUGAACUACAAGAAAGCAGAGUUUUCUGGUCUGCUGGAGCCUGAAGAAAAAAGAAGUCUUCAUCAGAGACCUCUUACCCCAGAGGAGGAGAAGGAACUUGAGAACUUGGCAGCAAUGGACAUGGAGCUACAAAAAAUUGCAGAGAAGAUUCAUGAGAAUCAGCAAGAGUAACAUAAAUGUUAUUAAAUAAUGCCUGAGCCAAUACAGACUUACAUAAACACAGCGAGCUGUUCGUUUACACUAGUUUUUAAACUUUCCAGUUUAAAGCGGUGGUCUGACACUAAUAGAAAACAGUUUUCUUGUGCAAUUUUAAUGUUAAAAAAUAUCUGGCAUGAGAAUUGUUUAGUACUAGAGACAUAUAUAUCAUGUAUGGCUAAUUUGUAUAUGUUUUUGAAUAAUGUGUUCUUGACAUGCCUGUUUUUCUGCAUUAAAUAAAUCAUCCUGGGACCAAAAUCA
rnacentral:lncRNA from 1 species